CUGUGCCUCUUAAUUGCUGUGUGAUUUUGGGAAAAUUAAUCUCUGAUCUCUGUGUGCUUCAAUUUCUUCAUCUAAAAAAAGUUAUUCUAUAAGUCAAAGAA